AAACCAUGCACCGAAGCUGCGGCAGCGACACUCAGGUGUUGUUGGGUAGGGGAGCGUUCUGUAAGCCUGUGAAGGUGUGCUGUGAGGCAUGCUGGAGGUAUCAGAAGUGCGAAUGCUGACAUAAGUAACGAUAAAGCGGGUGAAAAGCCCGCUCGCCGGAAGACCAAGGGUUCCUGUCCAACGUUAAUCGGGGCAGGGUGAGUCGACCCCUAAGGCGAGGCCGAAAGGCGUAGUCGAUGGGAAACGGGUUAAUAUUCCCGUACUUGGUGUUACUGCGAAGGGGGGACGGAGAAGGCUAUGUUGGCCGGGCGACGGUUGUCCCGGUUUAAGCGUGUAGGUGUGUGUUCCAGGUAAAUCCGGUUCACUUUAACACUGAGGCGUGACGACGAGGCACUACGGUGCUGAAGCAACAAAUGCCCUGCUUCCAGGAAAAGCCUCUAAGCAUCAGGUAACAUCAAAUCGUACCCCAAACCGACACAGGUGGUCAGGUAGAGAAUACCAAGGCGCUUGAGAGAACUCGGGUGAAGGAACUAGGCAAAAUGGUGCCGUAACUUCGGGAGAAGGCACGCUGACAUGUAGGUGAAGUGAUUUACUCAUGGAGCUGAAGUCAGUCGAAGAUACCAGCUGGCUGCAACUGUUUAUUAAAAACACAGCACUGUGCAAACACGAAAGUGGACGUAUACGGUGUGACGCCUGCCCGGUGCCGGAAGGUUAAUUGAUGGGGUCAGCGCAAGCGAAGCUCCUGAUCGAAGCCCCGGUAAACGGCGGCCGUAACUAUAACGGUCCUAAGGUAGCGAAAUUCCUUGUCGGGUAAGUUCCGACCUGCACGAAUGGCGUAAUGAUGGCCAGGCUGUCUCCACCCGAGACUCAGUGAAAUUGAACUCGCUGUGAAGAUGCAGUGUACCCGCGGCAAGACGGAAAGACCCCGUGAACCUUUACUAUAGCUUGACACUGAACAUUGAGCCUUGAUGUGUAGGAUAGGUGGGAGGCUUUGAAGUGUGGACGCCAGUCUGCAUGGAGCCGACCUUGAAAUACCACCCUUUAAUGUUUGAUGUUCUAACGUGGACCCGUGAUCCGGGUUGCGGACAGUGUCUGGUGGGUAGUUUGACUGGGGCGGUCUCCUCCUAAAGAGUAACGGAGGAGCACGAAGGUUGGCUAAUCCUGGUCGGACAUCAGGAGGUUAGUGCAAUGGCAUAAGCCAGCUUGACUGCGAGCGUGACGGCGCGAGCAGGUGCGAAAGCAGGUCAUAGUGAUCCGGUGGUUCUGAAUGGAAGGGCCAUCGCUCAACGGAUAAAAGGUACUCCGGGGAUAACAGGCUGAUACCGCCCAAGAGUUCAUAUCGACGGCGGUGUUUGGCACCUCGAUGUCGGCUCAUCACAUCCUGGGGCUGAAGUAGGUCCCAAGGGUAUGGCUGUUCGCCAUUUAAAGUGGUACGCGAGCUGGGUUUAGAACGUCGUGAGACAGUUCGGUCCCUAUCUGCCGUGGGCGCUGGAGAACUGAGGGGGGCUGCUCCUAGUACGAGAGGACCGGAGUGGACGCAUCACUGGUGUUCGGGUUGUCAUGCCAAUGGCACUGCCCGGUAGCUAAAUGCGGAAGAGAUAAGUGCUGAAAGCAUCUAAGCACGAAACUUGCCCCGA
rnacentral:rRNA from 1 species